GGAAUGGCAAGUAAAAAAAAAAAGCAUUUUUAAAAAUGUGUGUUGUAAAUCGGUUGAUAUUUUUUAUAAUGAGUGUGAUUUAUUUAUAUAUCCAGAAAAUAUGAACUAUUUUUAUUUAAAAAAAAACACGACAGUCUUUUGAGUAAGAACAGUUUCCAUCUGUUCAAAGGGGGGCUCGAAACCUCUCUUCUCUGGGAUUUGAUCUUCCUCAGUAUGGGGGAGAAUUAAGAAAAGCAACUCCUGGGCAACCAGUAGAGUUUCUUUUCACAAGGCCUGGAGGGCUGAUUCCGUCAAAGCCCCCUUGGAGAAAUCUUAGUGAUUCUGCGUCUCUCCUCCUGGGAGCUGGUUUGUUCUCCCUCUCCUGAAACUAGGGGAUUCUCACAUUUAUUACUACUGUGGCUUUUCGUCCCCUCUUACCCAUUUCACCCAGGCGUAUUUCUUGUUUUAUCUGGCACCCAGUAGAGCUCUGCCGAGCUGAGGGCCUGUCUUUCGCACCAAUCCUCAUCCAAUUAAUUGAUAAAAAAUUAAUAAUUUAAUUUUAGUGAUGGGAAUUACACGCCAUUCUCCAAGCUCUCUCUUCACCAGGCAUCCCAGAGUCACCUCAUACAGACAAGCACCUGAAGCAAGAGGAAGGAACAUUUAAAAAAAAUAUUUUAAGUGGAUUUGGCCACUUGAGCAUCUUUGAUUGGAGAGCAGGUGAAAGAACAGGAGGCACAGAGCAAAAACGGUCCCCCUAGAAAUCAGGAGGUUUAAAGGAAAUUGGUAGAGAAAAAAUCACAUUUGUUCCCUCUGUGCUUGUGGAUAUUUUUGGGACUUUUGCCAACCUACUUACUUAUUUUAACCCUGAACUGCAUAUAUGUGACACAACUCCAUUGAUUUUUGGAUUCAUUUAAAAGUAGGAGCUCUGAAUUCAGUCUUCACUAGCUAUGGGACCUUUGGCUUCAAUGUUUUCAUCUGCAAAACAGAGCUAAUAAGACAACCUUCCUUGUAGGGUUGUUGUGACGAUCAGUGAGAUUAUGCGCUUAUAGCAUUUAGCUUCACAUUUGACACUUCACAAGGGCUCAAAAAGUUCUAGGAAUUAUGAUGACUAUUCUUUCUGCAAGUCAGUAUUAGUGAUUAUUUACACAGAGGCUGAGCUAAAAUUUAUCAUGUUAUUAGAAGAGGAUGUUUCUACUUACACUAAUGUUAGUCUAGGAAGGAAGAUUACUUGGAAAAAAAUUUUCUCUUUAAGGCAAUGAUGUAAUAUGAUUGCAAUGGUUAAACAACACAGAAUAGUUUUCAACUCCCCUCAUGUGUCUUAUAAACCCUGCUUUCAAGCAACCGACAUAGAAAUCAUACAUUUUUGUCAAGUAGUUAUCCAAGUGCACCCUCUGCUAAAUAUACUGUCAAUACUAAUUUGAAUUACUACAAGUUUUAAAAUAUUACUUCAUUAAAUAGGUUCUCUAAAUCAGAUAUCUACUUAAAUCAAAGGGGCCUUUACCUGUUUUGAAAAAAUUGGUGGGGUUUCAGUGUACAAUAGAAUUGGCAGUUUAGACUGUAUUAAACUGAUAUGAGGAUUUGAAUUAAACUCUUUUGGGUUUUAUUCAUAUAAAUUCCAUGGUAUAAAGAGCCUUGAUGUUAUUUGUAGGUAUCUUCUACCUCCUCUAUUCUACAGUAAGCCCAUAGGGAUCAGUAAUUUCUCACUUACUUUUUUAUCACACACAAUACGCACACCAUUUGUAGCCUGGUGUAUAGUGUAGAGUAGGUGCUCAAGAAAUGUUGAAUGAAUGCUGGCCAGAAGUUUGUGUCAACAGGUGUUUGCAGGGCUGGUUAAGGCGAAUAUGGUCUUAAACAUGAGCAUUUCACGUGUGCCUGCUUUCAUCUCCUACAAAGAUGAAAAAAACCCUUGUGCUCCCUCUGUGGUUUGAAUUUCUUUUGUGUCUUUUCUGAGUAUGUCUAGAAUGGUGGAGAUUUAGUAAAUAUGUAUUGAAUUGGACCAAAGUAAGUAGAAGGAGGCAAAAGUAAAAUAGGCUGCUAUUGGUCUUAAACCAAGAAAGCAAUGGCUCUGAUUUAAGACCUCCCGUAGAAUUUUUGUGAGCCUUCCCAGCCUUCCAGUGCAUGGAAACAGAAGUUGGUUGCCCAUGGAAAGCUGGUCAUAUCAAGAGAGAAUCUUAUCUCCCCCACUUUUUGCACAAAGAAUUGUGACUUAUUUAAGAAGAUCUACGGUUGACACACAGUUUGGAUUUUAUAGCUAACUGUCCUAUUUUCUCAGACUCUGCUUUCAGCUGUGGAAGAACCUUGGUGCAGUUACCCAGCUAAUUAUAUUUACCAAGCUUCUCAAAUGGAGACAGAGGAGAGCUUUGGGGGAAACAUUUGCUGCCCUUCCAAACUGAGAUUUCUCUGCUUGUAAAGCAGAAUGAAGCUACAUGCUCAGCCUCAUAGACCCAAGCUGACACGGACUCUGUCACUGGAGGGACACUGAACUUUCCCUCCCAACUUGAGUGGAUACGUCGGCUUGACUAGGCAUCUCAAAGCUUCAUAGCCAGUUUCCAUGCAGCGGAAACAAACUUAGAAUUCUCCACCAUUCAUCUGGAUCUGUGGAUUAUGUGGACCAUUUGAAAUGAAAUUUUAUACUUGAAAUUUCCUUUCAGCCAAAAAAGACUAUUCAUUGGAUAAAACCCCAGAUCAGUGACCUGGGGUUUAGUCACAACAUCUCCAAUCCUUCUGCCUUCAGGAUGAACUUUCUGCCUGGGUACUUUCCUGAUAGUUAGAAGGAUCGUGAAUGCUGGAAGAUUGACAGCUCUGGGAAGAGCGCCAUCUCUCAAGUGCACACUUUAGGAGUAGCAGUGAGUUGAAAUUGCCCCCCUCUCACUACCUUAUGAAGCCUCUGCUGACAUGACGUGAUGUGCCCAGCACUCAGCACGAGAGGGAGAUGUUUGCGUGACUCCUUCGGCUCUCAUUUUUUCUGCCACUUACUCCAAGUUACUAUGAUUUCAUGGUGCAUCUUUGUGAAUGUGAAUCGAAGCACUUCUAACUUUUGUUAUCUGUGUCACUGAAUACGAUAACUAGGGAGGAAUUGGGUAAUUGGGAAGCAGGUACUAAUUGAAUUCAACCUUGGUUUUCUGACUUAGGAACAGAUUGUCUGCAAAACCCAGAAAGAGCCCCGCUGGCAAAAAUAAAGGUGAAAGUAGAGUUUUUAUUACA